AUUUUUCUUUGAAAAACUAAAAGGAGAAUUUAGACAUUUGAAUUUGAACUUUGUUCUGACUCUUAAAUCUCAUCAUUAUUAAUCAUGAAUAUAUGUGUCAACAGUAAUAUCAUGGUGCAGAAGACUGACGCAGACUAGUCAGAGGGAGAUGCCCACUGGUUCUGUUCUUGAAGAAAAUUGGUGUGUGGCUUCUGAACUUGAAAAGAUACAGAAGUUUAACUGUAUCCUUUAAACAUAAGGUAUUGUCC